AACGAACGCUGGCGGCAUGCCUAACACAUGCAAGUCGAACGAAGUCUUCGGACUUAGUGGCGCACGGGUGCGUAACGCGUGGGAAUCUGCCCUUGGGUGCGGAAUAACUUCUCGAAAGGGAUGCUAAUACCGCAUAAUGUCGUAAGACCAAAGAUUUAUCGCCCAAGGAUGAGCCCGCGUAAGAUUAGCUAGUUGGUGGGGUAAAAGCCUACCAAGGCGACGAUCUUUAGCUGGUCUGAGAGGAUGAUCAGCCACACUGGGACUGAGACACGGCCCAGACUCCUACGGGAGGCAGCAGCGGGGAAUAUUGGGCAAUGGAGGAAACUCUGACCCAGCCAUGCCGCGUGAAUGAUGAAGGCCUUAGGGUUGUAAAGUUCUUUCGCCGAUGAAGAUAAUGACGGUAGUCGGAGAAGAAGCCCCCGGCUAACUUCGUGCCAGCAGCCGCGGUAAU
rnacentral:rRNA from 1 species